GACGAACGCUGGCGGCGUGCUUAACACAUGCAAGUCGAACGGAAAGGCCCUGCUUUUGUGGGGUGCUCGAGUGGCGAACGGGUGAGUAACACGUGAGUAACCUGCCCUUGACUUUGGGAUAACUUCAGGAAACUGGGGCUAAUACCGGAUAGGAGCUCCUGCUGCGUGGUGGGGGUUGGAAAGUUUCGGCGGUUGUGGAUGGACUCGCGGCUUAUCCGCUUGUUGGUGGGGUAGUGGCUUACCAAGGCUUUGACGGGUAGCCGGCCUGAGAGGGUGACCGGCCACAUUGGGACUGAGAUACGGCCCAGACUCCUACGGGAGGCAGCAGUGGGGAAUAUUGCACAAUGGGCGGAAGCCUGAUGCAGCAACGCCGCGUGCGGGAUGACGGCCUUCGGGUUGUAAACCGCUUUCGCCUGUGACGAAGCGUGAGUGACGGUAAUGGGUAAAGAAGCACCGGCUAACUACGUG
rnacentral:rRNA from 1 species